AAAUAUUUACGUUUGAUCUUUUCAAUUUCUUUGUUAUUUUACUUGUUCGUUGCUUAAUCGAGUUUAUCCUCAACAUCAUGUUAUUAUAUUAGUAAGCAAAUGUGUCAUUAGUGUUUAAAUUGAUGACUAGGCUAAUGAAAUGUUUAAUGUUAUACUUUGGUGAGUCAAUUAGAACAUUUUGAAAUUUAGAGACCAAUUUAAAAUUUGGACAAUAGUUUAGAGGUGUUUGAUGGUAGGGGUGAG
rnacentral:lncRNA from 1 species